rnacentral:lncRNA from 1 species
CUACACCCGCUAGUUCAGCCAGGAGGCCCUGCGCGGCUCCGGGGAGAGCUGGGUGGUUAUGCCACCUCAUUAGACACAUUGGUGGACGAUGCCGCGGAUUAGCGGGAUGGUUUGUGUACAAACGAAGCCGUGUCACUUCUCAAGUGUCGGUGCUCAACGUGGCAACGCCCCUCCCGCCCCCAGUACAGAGAUCCUGCCCAUCCACCGACAAUCCCCCUCCUCAUCUUCCUUCCCCCAGGUGCGAGUGAUUCAAGGAAAUCCGACUGGAGGGAACACACGCUGCGAUGCACCCUCUCCUCUUCCAUUGAGCCAGGGGUGACCUUGAGAGACUCAGGCCACCUCACCAGGCUCUACCAGGAACAGCGUCUACAGCUGGUAGAGAGCACGGGCUGCAGAGAGGUAAAGAUGGGGUUCGGAAGCCAAGGCUCCCCUUGUUGCAUGGGUGACAUCAGGCAAGCUACUCAACCUCUAACCCUGGCUUCCCCUUCUGUAUACUGGAGACAGUAUCGGCCCCACAGGCACUUGUGGAGCAAGUGGGUUUGAGCUGAGCUCCUCUGAAAAUCAGAGGCACACUCAGAGAGUAGCUCAGAAAACCAGGAUGUGUCAGUUUCAUUUGCUGGGAAGCAGAAGCCAAGAUAGAAUUAGAAGUGCAAUGUCUGUGAAGGAAGAAUAAAGGGAAAAGGAAACAGGAGUGGGGCAGGGGGCAGACCAAAAGGAAGACAGACAAGUGUGAGAAGGAGCCCCACAGUGCAGUGUAAGCUUAAGAAGGUGUGGAGAGGAUGGGAGUCACUCACUGGGCAGGAAUGGCCCAGCUCCAGCACCUUGCUAUGACCAGCCAGCUGCUGGGAACAGGCCAGGAAGAGUGUGGCCUUAGCGCAAACACUGGGGUGGAUCUCGAGAUGAAGGUGUGGCCGCUGGAAGCUGUCACUUCACCACUCCUCUUCUGAAGAGAGAGCUGAGCCCUGCACAUGGGAGCAUUGGUGAAAAGGGUGGUAGACGUUUAUCAGUAACCUUACUGGUUUUGUGCUCCAUCCUCCAUCUCCCAAAGUCCCCCUGACCUUGCCUUCAGCUCCAGGAAUGGCCACAUGACUCAGACAAAGCCAACCAGCCAUCCCAUUUCAGUGGCCAGUGAUGAAUGAUUCAGUGUUUACCCAAACGCAUCCAAUCAGGGUGAAUCUGAGGACAUUUGCUGGGGAGGCUGGGACACAGAUAAUCUCUUUUCUGACAGAUGGUAACAAGAAAGUAGGUAGCUGCAGGGGCUGCUGGCAGCCAUCUUGAGACAUGAAAGGUGUCCAAAUUGGGAUGAAUUCAGCACUGAAGAUGGUGGUACAGAGAAACAGGAGAUAGGGCCUUUGAUCACAUUGUUGGAUGGCUGGUUAAGCCU